CCACUCCCUCUCUCUCACUCACUUCGUUCUCGCGGCACCUCGCUCGGUCUCUCCCGAUCACCUCGGAACCCAGCACCAGGAGGCCGCCAGAGAAACGUCGACGCGCGACUCCGCGCGCAUGCAAUCGCGACGAGAGAAAGCGGGCCUGAGCGGAACCGGGCUAGGCCGAAUUCGACGACAACAACGUUCGGAAGGCGCGCUACGUCGCUCGCGCAACACGACAUACGUAUAUGUUCGGUUACCCGACUUGCAACGGGGCCCCGCACGGUGGAUAGAUGCGACACACGACCGUACGCCUUGAAUGUAGUGUAGACCGAAUACCUCCUUCUCUUUCUCUGUCUCGAGCGAACGUGUUGUAUGUUGCCCAGAUCUGCCAACUGCGCGCGAAUAAUGCGCGCGCGUUUCGAGUUUCGACUCGUUUUUUUGUCUCCUCCGGCCUGAAUUUCCUUCCGGAAAAUUCGAUGAAUAUCAAUUCUUGAUUAAUUUCAGAGCGAAGUAUGCGAACACUGGUUAGGAACGAGAUCUCGUUUUCUGUGGAAAAUAAAGUUAAUACGUCGCAUCAUUUUAAAUUCCGAAGAUGUCGGAGCAAAGGUAUAUAGAACGGAAGAUCCAUUUGUGUUAUAUUUAUAUAUAUUGACCGGGCACGACAAUAAUUAAAUUAGCAUAAUUUCUGUGACAAAGAAAUAAAAGUAUACACCCUGCCUCGAUAAGGAGAACGUUCAACUUUCGUUGGGGAUCAGACAGCAAAGUACAAUAUAUACAGAAAGCUUCAGUGUAUCAAGUGUCAACGGUUAUCGUAAGAUAAAGUUCCGAAUUCCGUCUUCCUUUUAUAUCGUUGACGGACGAGCCGCUCGGGGGAUUCUUGGCAAAUUGUAUGGCGCAUAUACACGUGAGUUUUUCAAUUCCAUCUGGCAUUAGAGAUCGGCGUGCUGGAUCCAAUCCCUUCGCGGUGACGUGCAAACACGUUCCGGAUACGCGCGCCGAAGAGAUACACCGGAGAGUGGAGGAAAACGAGCGCAUUCAUAUACGCGGGGGAGAGAAAGAUUCUCUUUCCCAACCCCCUACCAUCCCCUUCUUCGCCUAUAUAUCUGUUUUCCACUUUUUUUCCCCGGCAGGGCUACCGCGAGAGAACCACCAUCAGCCACCCCCGGCAUUACUCUCUCCUUUUUAGCGGCGCUCUUCUCUCUCUCUCUCUCUCUCUUCUCUUCUCACCCUCGC